AUGUAUAUUAAAUAUUAUUUAAAUGGCAGCCCACUCCAGUAUUCUUGCCUGGGAAAUCUCUUGGACAGAGGAGCCUGGCCGGCUACAGUCCCGGGGGUCGCUAAGAGUCCGACAGGACUGAAGCGACUAAGCAUCCAUAAUAUAGUUUUAAAAAACAAAUUCAGCCUUCAUUCUCUCAGCCCACUUUCAGGCGUAUCUUUCGUACAGCAGGUAGAUGUACUGUUUACAAAACGCUGCUGCUGUGUUUUUCUGCAACGUGGAUUUUUAGUCACUAUAUAUUCGAGGGUCUUAGGUAGCAAGUGCACCGGGAUCAACUUGGUUCUUCCCAACCGCUGCACAAUAGGAGCGGUUUUGCGCGUCAUCAUUCUUUGUUACUUAGCUCCUUACAAGGGACUUUUAGAUUGUUGCCCAUUUGGGGCCGUUAAAAACAAAGCUACUGGUUCGAUUUGCAUUUUAAUAGCGAAGGAGCUGGACAUGCCGAGGAGGAUGCCAGGUCCGUGUGCUGCGCUCAGGGUCCCUGGUGCAGGCUUGGCCGCAGGAGCCCAGCUAAGAACCCUGGGUAUCCAUCCAGUCAUCUUCCGCAGCCUCUCCAACACCCCCACUUCCCCCAAGGCGCGGCUCUUUUUUGGGACUGUACUGCAUUUUUUGGAGAUGAUUGGGCGGGUGAGGGUGAAAUGCAGGCCAAUGGCUCGCGAGCGGCUCGAAGGAAACGCUCCCCGAAGCAGAAAAAGAGCAGAAAGGGUCAGAGGCACAAGGCGACUCUGGCAGGAUUGUUGUUACUCUGAUGGGGGCGCCUGCAGCGUUGUUAGUGCGGGCGCCCGCUUGAAGCGCCCAGCCGAACCCGCAGCUUUUCGGGGGCGGGGGCGGGGAGGGCUUAUCUGUUGCAUGGCUCUCUCUCUGGGCUGGGGGUUUUGUCUGGUAAGUUCACGUGGCACCGGUCCAGCCCAAAAGCCUGAACACCCAGCACCCCCGACCCGCGGUGUUCCCAGCUCCUGCUGCUGCUGCUGCUAA
rnacentral:lncRNA from 1 species